rnacentral:rRNA from 5 species
CGUACGACUCUCGGCAAUGGAUAUCUCGGCUCUCGCAUCGAUGAAGAACGUAGCGAAAUGCGAUACUUAGUGUGAAUUGCAGAAUCCCGUGAAUCAUCGAGUCUUUGAACGCAAGUUGCGCCCGAAGCCUCGGCCAAGGGCACGUCUGCCUGGGCGUCGCAA